AUCUGAUUUCUCUCUUCUUCCCGCGCUCAGUACUUACUUGUACUCAGGGUAACUGUCUCUAACUUCUAACAUAAGAACACACACAUCUUUAUUAUUUUUUCUUCACACCAUAUGUAUUUUUAAAAUAUUAAGGUUUUAAAAAACAACAUGAACGUGACCAGGAAGCUUCUGAAUGAGUAGUUUCUCACUCGAGAAGCCAAACCUAUGGGGAAUAUCAAAUGCUGCAAAGGAUCGAAAAUUGUCGAAUUGGUCAAAAUAUUGACCUUCAAAAGACCAAACUGUUUGUGUUACUCUCUUUAGUCUUUUUUGUUGAUUAUUUAUAGCGUGAGGAUAAUAUUUUAGUUUUUUUUUUCUAUAGGGAGGAGAUAUUUUAUUCCAAAUUCUAUUUGCAAAUUAGUGGGGGAGG